rnacentral:rRNA from 1 species
UACGUAGGUGACGAGCGUUAUCCGGAUUUACUGGGCGUAAAGAGCGCGCAGGCGGUCGUACAAGUCGCGUGUGAAAGCCCCUGGCUCAACUGGGGAGGGUCACGCGAUACUGUUCGACUCGAAGGCAGGAGAGGGAAGUGGAAUUCCCGGUGUAGUGGUGAAAUGCGUAGAUAUCGGGAGGAACACCAGUGGCGAAGGCGACUUCCUGGCCUGUUCUUGACGCUGAGGCGCGAAAGCUAGGGUAGCAAACGGGG